CUGAGGCAGACUCAUUUCAGGUGCAACGUGGAUCCACAUCACCGAUCAUCCAAAAGAUAAGUCGGGGAACUAGGCUUGGAGAUGGGAUGAUGGGAGAGUAUCAGGUUGGGAGUUCUUGGGGCAGAUUUAAAAAUGAGUAGAGGGGAAAGGAGUCUUUUCUAAGAGCCUGUUAGGACAGCUAAAGGGAGAGGCUCUACUUUUGAUGGCAGCUUUCAGUCGGGCAGUGCAGAACAGCUCUUGUCUGUGUUGUGUUGUCCGGUGUGCCGUGCUCCCUAGUGUGUCUUUGGGGUCCCUUUUGCCUUCUCCCCUCGAGGCCCUCACCACAAGCAUAAUGUGUUGUGUUUGAUGUCCCCCUCUUUGUCAUGUUCUGUGUCACAGGUGUCUGCACAUAUUUGUGCCAGAGCUGUCCUGCCCUGCCACAUAAUCUGCUGCAAUAGGACAAGUCCUGGGGACUUGCAGUUUGUGGGGUGUCACUGGACUCUAGAUGAUAUUCCUAGAUAGACACAACAUGUUUGGAGCUGUGAAGUCAUUCUGCAGCCCUUUGACUUUUGUCUUCACUUUCAGAUGCAGACGGUAAAAUCCAGGCCAAAAUCCAUCCACCCAUGCCAGGUGAUGAGGUUCCCCAGAGCAGGAAGUAAAGCUGGAUAUCAGCAGUGAAGGUGAGAUGGGCAAGGUGAGCAGUGAGUAGCUUACAGAAGCAGUUGUUAUUGCUCAAGUCUCUCUGCUGCAAUUCUAAGCAUCUAUUCCUAUUUCUGCGCCGGGCAUUUUCAGGACAAUGGUGAGUAGCAGAAUUGUUGGGGUUUGGCCAGUGUGCUGCUGAGGUCAUGCAUUGGUAUUUGGUUUUCUUUAACAUAGCUGACUACAAAACAACAGGAGUUGUUGUUCAACAACAGUGCCAGCAGGAACUUCCAAGAUGUAGAGGCCACCAUCUAUUGUACAUGACGUGGAUCUUCAGAUGGAUUAAAUCUGUGCCAGAGGGCCCCAUCCCGGAAGUGGGGAUUCCCCCUAAGCAGGUGAGGACCCAUUUGUCUCUGCAGCAUAAGUGUAUGUGGUGACUGUGUUACAGCUCUGUUCUUUGUCUUUCUUUUUAGGAAUGAAUCUGGAUACCAGCAGCCGAGGUCAUCAGUGGAGAGAAGUAUUGUUAUUGCUCAGGUCUCAAUUUCUGGUGCAGCUCUAAGUUUCCAUUCUCAUUUUUGCUCUUUAGGCAAUCCACUCGGAGUAUGCCUAGCCCCCGUCACCUCCCGGUCGAUGCACUGGGUUUGCUGCACGUGUCAGCCCUGUGGAUGCAUUACAGGAGCUGGUGAUGAAGCCCUGAACUUUUCUAUUUAAAGGUGCCAUCCGGGUGGCCUUCGGCAACUGCCGAGGAGUUGCGGGGAGUCAGGGCAGCAGGGAGGAGGAGUGAGGGUCCACUAAGGUUUCAGCCAUGGGAAAUCACCUCAUCUCCUCUUAAACCAGGCUUCCUGUGACGACGGCCUCGGUCUCUGAGCGUGCCCGAAGCGUGCGGCCUGAGCAGCUGGGCGUUCCUAGGAACAUGGUGACCAGCAGACUGCUGGGGUUUUGGGCAAUGGGCUGCCACGAUCAAGCACUGAUAUUUGGUUUUCUUUAAUACAGCUGUCUGAGAGACACCAGCCUGGUGCCAGCAGGACCUUCCCAGCUGACGAGGUGGCCUUCCUUUGCACCUGACACAGACUGGCAUCCCCAGAUGUCUGAGAGAUAUGUAGAGGGCUGUGACCCACAGAGAGGAUGAAAGCAUGGUGCUGGUUUGGGAAUUACUGGGAGGGGUUUUUGAUUCAGCUUUGGAGGUGGGGUGUGUACAUGAAGUGCCCCCUUAGGCCCCAUAAAAGCAAAGUCUCACUUUUGAGCACAGUGCGGUGUGCAGGGCAGAGCAGUCCUGGUGUGUCUCGUGUCACUUGUCUAUUGUGCAUUAUGUGUUGUUUGUGUAUCUCAAGUCUUUUACCUUAGGCCUUUGAGGGGCCUAUCAGAAACUCUGGCAUCCUUCUUAGCAUCUGUGGUCCCUGCAUUCCUUGGCCUGGCACCAGGCCAUAGAUGUGAUUCUGAUACCUGUCUGAGCUCCCCAGUCAAAAGUUCUCUCUUUGGAAGCAUCCAGUCAGGUAUCUUUUCACAUCUUGUUCUGAGCUGUAUGGACAGCAGUGCCCCACCUGGAUCCAUUGUGGUGGAUUAGGACUUGUAAGAAUGUGAGUGCAGGUAGAGGCUUCUGACCAUAGGAUUCCUGGGCAUCCACCUUUGCUGUUCUUGGAACAAAUCAUUCAGUUAGCAUCUUCAUCCUCCAUGGUUCUGAGCCUCAUCUGCUCACCAUCAGUCUCAGCUCACUCAUUUUCUUUUGCAUUCUCUCAGUCCUUGCAGCCAUUUUCCUUGCCUGGAGUUUUCUGUUCCUGUUGUGUCCCCAUUGUCUGUCACGUCCUGUCCUGUGUCACGGGUGUCUGCACACAUUUGUGCUGGAGCUGCUCUGCCCUGCCACAUAGCCUGGUGCAAUAGGAGAAGUCCCGGGGACUUGGAAUUUGUAAUGUGGGGUGUAGUUGGACUCUAGAUGGGAUUUGUAGAUGGACACAGGAUAUCUGGAGCUCUUCAGUUAUCCUGCAACAGUUUGACUCUUGUCCUAACUUGUUUUUCAGCUUCAGAUGGAUUAAAUCUGUGCCAGAGGUCCCCUUCCCAGGAAGUGAAUUUGGAUACAAACAGCCAAGGUCAUCAGUGGAGAGAAGUAAUUGUUAUUGCUCAGCUCUCAAGCACAAGAAUUUUUCAGCAGAUUCAUCAUGACACAAGAGGGAUCUGCCCAGUGUCAAGGAUGAUGUUUGAGGCUUCAGGUGA